rnacentral:rRNA from 1 species
GAUGAACGCUGGCGGCGUGCCUAAUACAUGCAAGUCGAGCGAACAGACGAGGAGCUUGCUCCUCUGACGUUAGCGGCGGACGGGUGAGUAACACGUGGAUAACCUACCUAUAAGACUGGGAUAACUUCGGGAAACCGGAGCUAAUACCGGAUAAUAUAUUGAACCGCAUGGUUCAAUAGUGAAAGACGGUUUUGCUGUCACUUAUAGAUGGAUCCGCGCCGCAUUAGCUAGUUGGUAAGGUAACGGCUUACCAAGGCGACGAUGCGUAGCCGACCUGAGAGGGUGAUAGGCCACACGGGAACUGAGACACGGUCCAGACUCCUACGGGAGGCAGCAGUAGGGAAUCGUCCGCAAUGGGCGAAAGCAUGACGGAGCAACGCCGCGUGAGUGAUGAAGGUCUUCGGAUCGUAAAACUCUGUUAUUAGGGAAGAACAAAUGUGUAAGUAACUAUGCACGUCUUGACGGUACCUAAUCAGAAAGCCACGGCUAACUACGUG